rnacentral:rRNA from 1 species
GAUGAACGCUAGCUACAGGCUUAACACAUGCAAGUCGAACGAGAAGUUUUUUAUUGAACCUUCGGGGGAUAUAAGAGACAGACAGUGGCGAACGGGUGAGUAACGCGUGGGCAACCUACCUAUCGGAGCGGGAUAGCCUCGAGAAAUCGGGAGUAAAACCGCAUAACACGGAUAUAUCGCAUGAUGAAUCCGUCAAAACUCCGGUGCCGAUAGAUGGGCCCGCGUCUGAUUAGCUAGUUGGUAAGGUAAGGGCUUACCAAGGCAACGAUCAGUAGCCGGUCUGAGAGGGCGAACGGCCACACUGGAACUGAGACACGGUCCAGACUCCUACGGGAGGCAGCAGUGGGGAAUAUUGCGCAAUGGGGGCAACCCUGACGCAGCAAUACCGCGUGAGUGAAGAAGGUUUUCGGAUCGUAAAGCUCUGUUAUUGGGGAAGAAGC